rnacentral:rRNA from 1 species
AGUGAACGCUGGCGGUAGGCCUAACACAUGCAAGUCGAACGGCAGCACAGUAAGAGCUUGCUCUUACGGGUGGCGAGUGGCGGACGGGUGAGGAAUACAUCGGAAUCUACUUUUUCGUGGGGGAUAACGUAGGGAAACUUACGCUAAUACCGCAUACGACCUACGGGUGAAAGCAGGGGAUCUUCGGACCUUGCGCGAUUGAAUGAGCCGAUGUCGGAUUAGCUAGUUGGCGGGGUAAAGGCCCACCAAGGCGACGAUCCGUAGCUGGUCUGAGAGGAUGAUCACCCACACUCGAACUGAGACACGGUCCAGACUCCUACGGGAGGCAGCAGUGGGGAAUAUUGGACCAAGGGCGCAAGCCUGAUCCAGCCAUACCACGUGAGUGAAGAAGGCCUUCGGGUUGUAAAGCCCUUUUGUUGGGAAAGAAAAGCAGCAGGUUAAUACCCCGCUGUUCUGACGGUACUCAAAGAAUAAGCACCGGCUAACUUCGUG